UAUUGCACAAUGGGGGCAACCCUGAUGCAGCGACGCCGCGUGAGUGAAGAAGUAUUUCGGUAUGUAAAGCUCUCUCAGCAGGGAAGAUAAUGACGGUACCUGACUUAGAAGCCCCGGCUAACUACGUGCCAGCCGCCGCGGUAAUCCGUAGGGGGCAAGCGUUAUCCGGAUUUACUGGGUGUAAAGGGAGCGUAGGUGGCAGGGCAAGUCAGAUGUGAAAACCCGGGGCUCAACCCCGGGAGUGCAUUUGAAACUGUCCAGCUGGAGUGCAGGAGAGGUAAGCGGAAUUCCUAGUGUAGCGGUGAAAUGCAUAGAUAUUAGGAGGAACACCAGUGGCGAAGGCGGCUUACUGGACUGUAACUGACGUUGAGGCUCGAAAGCGUGGGGAGCAAACAGG
rnacentral:rRNA from 1 species